rnacentral:lncRNA from 1 species
AGAAAGCGUGCAGUUCUCUAGGACAGCAGCCGCGUCUGGGCCCAAGGCUGGCUAACUAGCAGGCUGAGUGAGGCUCGACGGAGGGCGCCUUACGCGGGCACUUCCAUGACUCCCAGGUUCUGACGGCACAAGAGCCCUGAUGCCCACGCUCACGGACAGUUCCCCGCUGGAGCGGGCAGGGGACCUGACCCUACGACACAGGGCGUCCUGUGUCAGAGGCAGGAGGCUGAGGACACAGCUGCGCAGAGCCGCCCAGCAGAGGUUACCCGGAUAACGAUAAGUGGUCCCCGCGACGCCCCUUAAGUCUCUGGGGUUAUCUGGAGCGCAGGUUUGCAGACCCGCUGCCCCCGCGGUGGGCCAGGUCCACGGGGCCGGAAGAUAGCAGGAUCUGUCCAGCCCUCGGGCUGCGGCGGCUGCUCGCGGAGCCCACUCUCCCCGACGGUCCCCAGCUUGCUCCAGCUCUGCCUGGAGCUCCCAUGCGUGCCCUCCGCAUCCGCCCUGGCCGCCCAGUCACACACCUGCAGUCCCCGCCGGGCGCCGAGCCCCUCUCCAGCGGCGACUCCCUGCGAUUCGGGUGACCGUCGGGACCACCGCGCCCCAGCUGGAGCCGCGCGGCGAGCCGCAGCAUCUGCCCAGCCUGGGCUCCUCCGGCGGGCGGGGCGGAGCCUGUCAGGGGGCGGGGCCUAAUGGGGCGGGGCUGACCGCGGAGCCGGCCUCUCCAGCCACCUGGCGGCCCGGCAGCGUCAGCCAGGUGCGCGCCCGGCCCCACAUCCUCUGGGUCACGCCCCCGAGGCCGCAAGGCGUCUGAGAAGCAGCCCCGGCUCUGACCCGCCAGCCCUCGGAAGAAGCAGACCCUGGCCGGUCCAUGGCAGUGGCCCGAGGGGCACCAGCGCGGAGCACCAGCGACCCCCAAGGAACGACGUUGCAGAUGAUGCUCUACCAAGAGUUGGAAGGACUCCCCAGGGAAUCCCACAAGACACUGCGCUUCCUAUGCCUCCUUUCCCUCGUUUAAAAAAUGGGGAUAAGAAGGUUGGCUACUGCUCCGACAGCCCUCACAAUGGAAGAGUAGCACUUCAUUUGUGGGUUAACAAAGGGCAACGCUGAAAUCUCCACUUCCACUAUUGAAUGGAACUGUGUCAUAAUAUCUGUUAGAGGCGUGCAAACUCGGCCACAAGGUCAUGGUCAUACGUUAUUGUUGGUCAAAAGCCGCAGCCCUACCUGAGGCUUUGAGAGAUAUGAACACCAAUGACUUUUCUUUUCCUGACUCCCGAAAUACCAAGAAAAAGCAACUUCCCCAAAUGGACAGAAACAGAAAGUACCCUUGGUUGAACACAGAGGCCUGGUUCCAGCCAUCGUUAGACGUGGGAAGGAACUCAGACCCCCUCUCCUACCUCAUCCCCAACCCCUUCCCCACACGUCACCCUUUCACAGAGAAGGAACCAGAGCCACCAAGGGCUGAGAGAGGACUUGAUAAGGAUUCCAGUCUUCUGUCUCCCCUGUCCCCACUUUUUCCACCACAAAAAUAUGGACAUUUGGAAGAAGAGGAGAAGAGGGAAGGUACACACUGUGCAAAGGAAGAAAAUGGCAGAAAUGCUCUGGAAUCAGGAAUUCAGGAGCAAGAAUGACACUGUGUGCCAGAUGGAAAUGUUGGAUUAGGAGAGCACUUGGAAAGGCAAAUAAUCUGCCAGAGAAAUUAUGGGAUGCCUGCCUUCUGAAAAUGGAGGAAAACUGCAAAAGAGUGGCUCAUUGGUGCUCACUCCUAGGGCUCUGAGCAUCCCAAGAAGCCAACUUGGUCCCAUCGUACAUCCCCUCAGAAGUAGGCAUUCUCCUCUCCACCUACAGCUGUGGCCCAGAUGUGGAGCCUGCAUGUUAUGCCACGCCGUCAACACUGAGUUCUGUCUGCGUCUCCCUGUCACAGAUCUGAUCAGCACCUGACACCUAUCCAUUCUCCAUUUCCCACCUCCCCAAAGCUGCUGGAAAAACUCUGAAAGGUACCUCUGUCACUCAUUAAGCAUCUGAUUAUGUACCUCUUUCUACAACUCCUUUGUUGCUUUGUUUUAAAAUCUAUGGCUCUUUGAAAUCACUCUCCUUCCUUUCACUGCCUAAUGUUUUCAAAGAGGAGUCUACCCCUGCCUCCACUUCCUCAUCUUACAUUUAUUCCUCAAUUCUCUGAACAGAGACCACCAGGGAAACCCCAAAUGUCAACUCCAAUGGUUUCAUUUUCUUACCUCACUACAGCAUUUGGCACCACUCCUUCUUGAAAAUCCCCUCCUUGGCUUCUCCUCCACCUCUCACCAUGAUUUCUGUUUUCUUCUUCUGGCUUCAUUUCUUCAUCAUCUCUUAAACAUUACAAUGCUUGAGAUUUCAGAUAAGGCUGCUUCUCUUCUCCCUGGGCAAUCUCAUCCAUUCCCAUCAUACUGAUCCCUCCCAAACUAUCGCCCAGACUUCUCUCUUGAGCUCCAGAUCUGUAAUUCCAAGUGUUUUCUGUACACCCAUACCUAGAUAAUCAAUCCAAAAGCCUUUUAAUUACUCCAUGACCUAAAAUAAAUUCCUCAUCUUCUCCCAAACUCCUUCUCCUGCCUUCCCUAUCUCAGUUGACAUCAUUACUAUCCACCAGUGGAUAGUAAGAUUUCUAGUAACUUAUAGCCAGAAUAUAUAAAGAACUCCCACAACUCAAAAGUAGUAAAGACAAAGAAUCCAAUUUAAAAAUGGGCAAAAGACUUGAACAGACACUUCAACAAAAAAAAGAUAUGCGCAUGGCCAAUAAACACACGAAAAGGUGCUAACAUGAUGAGUCUUUGGGGAAAUGCAAACUUAAACCAUGAGUUACCACUUUACAGUCAUUAGAAUAGCUAAAAUUCAUACUGAAAACACCAAAUGUUGGCAAGGAUGUGGAGCAACUGAAACACUCAUAUAUUGCUUGUAGGAGUGUAACACGGCACAACAAGUUUGGGAAACUGAUUGGCAGUAUCUAAUAAAGUUAAAUAUACAUCUACUUGUGACCUAGAAAUUCCACUCCUAGGUAUAUAUCCAAGAUAAAUGAAUGUAUAUAUCCCCACAGAAACAUAUAUAUGAAUGACUGUAGCAACUUUAUUUAUAAUAGCCCCAAACUGGAAACACCCUAAAUAUCAUUAAUAGUAGAAUGCAUUUUUUGUUAAAUUGUGGGAUAUUCGUACACUGGAAUGCUACUCAGCAGUAAAAAGGAAUAAAUGACUGAUGCAUUUGUCCACAUAGGUGAAUCUCACAAAAAUGAUGCUGAGCAAAAGAAGCCAGACACAAAAGAAAAUAUAGUGCAUGAUUCCAUUUAUAUGAAGUUCAAGAACCAGCAAACUAACUUAUAGUGAUAGGAGUCAGAAUGAUGGUUAUCUUGGGGGAAGGGAACAAUUUAGCCAGAAAGUGGACAUGAGUGAACUUUCUGGGGUGGUGUUUUUAUCUUGAUGGUGGUUAAAUGGUUUCUGCAUAUGCACAAGUUAGUGAGAUCUUCACUUAAAAGUUACAUAUUCUGCUCUUUGUAAAUUAUAUCCCAGUACAUAAAAUAUGUGAGAAAAGAAAAUCCACAUUGGUCUUCCUGUCACCCAGUGCAGUGGCAUGAUCAAUGCUCCCUGCAGCCUCAAAUUCCUGGGCUCAAGCCAUCCUCCUGCCUCAGGCAUGCCUAGCUAAUUAUUAUUAUUAUUAUUAUUAUUAUUAUUAUUAUUAUUAUUAUUAAUUUGGUAGAAAUGGAGUCUUGCUGUGUUGCCCAGGUAGGUCUCAAACUCCUAGGCUUAAACAAUACUCCCACCCGGGCCUCCCAAAGUGCUGGGAUUACAGGUGCAAGCCACUGUGCCUGGCUGACAUUGGGCUUUUAUAUCUUCAUGCCCUUCCUCUCUCUGUCCUCUCUGCUUAAAAUACCUCUCUCCACUUAUUUAUUUGACUGAAUGCUUACUGACUAUUCAUGAUAAUCAGGAGAACCACCUCAACUUCUAUUCCAGAAUAAAUAUAGACUCCCUCCUGGUAAAAAUAAACAGAGAGAGAAAAAGUAAUGAUAUGAAAACACAAAAAGAUUCAGACUUUCAACAGAACGGAACAUGGUCAGAGAAAAUUAGUUUCCUUUGAAAUGAAAUUUCCACAAGAAGAAGAGGAAAAAAAAUUAAACAUCUUUCUCUUUUAUGUUUUUAAUAAUAUUUGGGAGGAUAUUGUAUUUGCAAGUGUAGUGGAUUAUGUAAUUACAAACUGAAAUUACAAGGAAUCAUUAAGAAAUUACAAACUGAAAUUAGGAAACAUUUUUAGCUUGCUAAAUUUAAACCUCAAUGGAAACAAUGAACAGAAGAUUGGGAACCGAAGAAAGCUGAAUGUGUGACCCAGAACUCAAGCUUGAAAAUUUAUCCUGGAAUUCAGAAGAGAAAAGAUGAUCUGUGAUAGCUAGACUAUAGAGGUCUAAUAUGUGUAUAACAGUAAUUCCACAAGGAGAGAGAGGAGAAAAUAAAAUAUAUGGCAGAAGAAAUUUUCUCUGAACUAAAGAAAGAUUUGCAUCUUCUACUCAAUAUCUUAACUUUCCUGGUAAGACAUGAAUUACCAAAAAUUGACUUAAGAAGAGAUACACUCUGAAUAGACCAAUAACCAUGGAAUUGUAUAAAUUAUCAAAGAACAUCUCUCUUGAAAGUCUCCAUGUCUUGGUAGUUACAUAGAUGACUUCUAUCAAAUUUUAAAGGACAGAAUUCUACCAUGCUUUUAAAAAAUACUACCAUGAAAAAUAUAGUAUGCUAACCUUUCAUGUAAAAAAGAAAGAGAAAUAAGAAAAUAUGCAUGUAUCUUCUCAUUUGUAGAAAAACAAGUAUAGGAAGGAUCAACCAGAAACUGAUGAGAUUGGUUACCUACAGUGGAUAGGUAGGGAUAGUCUGGAAAGAAUGGGAGAUUGGGGGUAAGGAUAGAAGGGAUGGGAGAAAUGACAAUUCUCUGAGUAUGCUGUUUGUACAGUUCUUACUUUGAGGACCAUGAUAAUGCUACAUAUAUCCUCAUCUCACCCUAAAGUAGUAAGUUUACAUCAAUCAGGAUGUGAUGGGAACCCAAAACUGAAUAUGAACAGUAACAAAUGAACCUAUUACAAAUGAAUGAUAUAAUCAUACUGAGGAAGGAGAAGACAAAAGGAACUAACCAAGUAACAUAGAAAACCAUAUUUUGACUACAUACUAUAAGUAUGUGCCCUGUCCAAAUCUCAUACUGAAAUGUAAUCCCCAGUGCUGGAGGUGGGGCCUGUUGGAAGGUGAUUGGAUCAUGGGGGCAGAUUUCUCAUGAAUGGUUUUUCACCAUCCCUCUUGGUACUGUCCUCUUGAGAGUGAGUUCUCAUGAGAUCUGGUCAUUUAAAAGUGUGUAGUACUGGGCAGGCGCAGUGGCUCAUGCCUGUAAUCCCAGCACUUUGGGAGGCCAAGGCAGGCGGAUCAUGAGGUCAGGAGAUUGAGACCAUCUUGGCCAACAUGGUGAAAUUCCGUCUCAACUAAAAAUACAAAAAUUAGCUAGGUGUGGUGGUACAUGCCUGUAAUCCCAGCUACUUGGGAGGCUGAGGCAGGAGAAUCGCUUGAACCAGGGAGUCAGAGGUGGCAAUGAGCCAAGAUCGCACCACUGCACUCCAGCCUGGCGACAGAGUGAGACUCCAUCUAAAAAAAAAAAAAAUUGUGUAGUACCUCCCACCUUGGUCUCUCUUGCUCCUUCUCUGGCCAUGUGACAUGCAAGCCCCAACUUUGCAUUCCACCGCAAUUGUGAGCUUCCAGAGGCCUCCCCAGAAGCAGAAGCCACUACGCUUCCUGCACAGCCUGCAAAACCAUGAGCCGAUUAAACCUCUUUUCUUUAUAAAAAUUACCCAGUCUCAGGUGUUUCUCUAUAGCUAUGUG